CUUCAAGUGUCUAGAAUUAAAGGUAUGUAUUGGCCAAAAUUAGGAUUUUUCAACUAUUUUGCCCUUAUGUAUCAAAUAUUUUUUAGUGUGAAAAUUAUGUAGCAUCAAUUAUAUUGAAAGAUAUAUUGCUUUAAAGAGAAAUAAUGGUUUUUCAUUAGCUCGAAUGAAAAUUUAACUUUGCUCUCCUAAAAGGUCAUUGAUAUAAAUAUUGCACCAAGACUUAAACAUGAUUUAUAAUACACUUUCAAAGACAGGCCAUCAUCCUUUGUUUAACUACAUCAAAACUUUUCAUUGGUCCAGACCUCUUUGAAAAAAUACUAACAUUAUCUUUUAAAAAAUCAUCACACGCUUCCAUCUGCUAAAGCUUUGGAUCUAAUACAGAAACUCUUUGUCAUUGAUCCAUACGAUAGAUUAAAUUUUCAUCGUAUUAUUGGAUAUCCUUGGUUAAAAGAUAGUAGAAUGAAAAUCGUUGUUUAUGAUUUACUAAGAAAAUCUCAAUGUAAGAUAUCUAAUCAAAAUAACAAAGAAGAUGAGAUUUCUUCAAUAACUCUUUAUUUACAAGGAAAAAAAUACUUUAAUUGUUUAAAAGUUUUUGUAACUAUAAUUCUCAUUAUGCCUACAAUUGGUCAAUGUCUAUUAGUUUGAUCUAAAAUUUAUGUUUUAAGU